AUGCUUUAAAGUAGAAACAUGGCAAAUAUUAUAUACAUAUGUGUUAAUAGGAAAUAUGCAAACUCUGGAGCAGCAUGGGUCACUGUCAUAUUCUAGGCGGUGUACAAACUAUGCAGGAUAAAUCCUGACCCAGCCAGUGUUGAUAAGUGUUUGCCAAGCAGCGGGACCAAAAUACCACUGGGACCGUGCAAGGAAUAUCUGAUAACCUGGUGUUCCAAAGGGGUACGUGCAAGGAUGUGGAGCUCCAUGGCUGCUGCUGUUAUACAACAACAGUGUGGAUUUCCAGACUUCUCAUGAUGACUAUGAAUGGCCCAGUCAUCUCCCUCAAGUAAGUCAUUCCCUGAUCAUGACAGGCACGAGCCAACACUCUGCGACAAUGUUCUCAUUGUUUGCAGUGAAUUUGGAGCCUGAUGCUAAGGAUGAAAGCCUUUGUCAGCUGUGCAGGGAACGCUGCGUGAUAAAAUUAUUGAAGAUGCUGCUGGUGCAAAGCUAUUUGUAGCAAAUGAAAUCCUGCUGUGUGCAAUUCAGAACUUCAUAUUGAACAGUCCAGAUAGGAGCGUCUGUGGAUACCUCUUAAGACUUCAGACAUGCCUUAGUUUGCUUGUUUGUUUUUAUCCUGUGUUAUUGAUCUGGACCUCAUCAUAUGUUUGUGUGGGGAACGGCUUUUCAGAUGCCAGGAACAUAUUUAGAGUCAGGUCAAGUGGAUUGAAUAGAGGCAUAAAAUCUGCUGAUUCCUAGAAGAUGUCAACGCGUGACAGAGGGAGUCUGGAGAGUGGGAGACCUCUUAAACUAGUAUUGACGUUGCCCAGAAAUCCACAGCAUAAAAAGGGGAAGAGUGUUCUGUCUCAUAAACAAAGCUCGCACUAUCAGCAGUGCCUUUGUGAGCUUUGACAAAUAACAUGCUAUUCUUGCAUGUGCUCUGAAAGGUGCAGUCAGUGUUAGUUUUUGAACGCUGCAGUUAAGCUAGAGGAUAAAUAAUGCUACAAGUACAGAAUGUUUUACUCAUUGCACACGUCAAAACUGUAAAAAAAAAAAAAAAAAAUCCCCAUGCUGUCAGGAUAACACAUCAUUCAGAUUGAUUCAGUACCCUCUGGACUAUACAGAAAAAGAAAUGUUUUAAAAAGGAUUAUUUGAGCUAUGGUGAAGAACCAGGAAUACUGAGCAAUCCCCUAUUUUCUGUUACAGGCCUUUUUGUGACCUUGGGCAAAUUAUUUAUCUCCUUGUACCUCAGUCUCUCACCUAUGAUAAAAU
rnacentral:lncRNA from 1 species